CUUUUAUUAGAAGAGCAGGAAUUGCAAUGAUCAAACAUUUCAGAAUUUGAAAUUGGAAUUGAAAACUUCUGUAAGAGUGUUUAAGCACUCUUUUAUUUGGGUUUCCUAAUUUUCUAUGCCAAGACUGUUGAAAUUCUGUCAUAUAGGAUUGGUAGCUCAGAUUGCAUUGGGAUCCUCCAACAGGCCACUCAAAAGUCCUUCUUUAUCCUAGCCUCGUGCCAACAGUGCCCCCGUACUCACAUCCUUCACAAGAAAAUCAAAAGGAAAAAUUCUAUGGAUGUCAGAUUAUCUUUGCAAAAUUGAGACACAGAUAUAAAGUUACGUUUAAUCUCUGGUGCACACAAAGUAUUUGAAAGAUGAAACUUUUUAUUUGAAGCAUUUAUUUGAAUUUGGCCAUUGUGAGUGAUCGAAUCAUACUCAGGUCCUAGACCGCUGAGAAUUUUGACCGCAAGUUCGUCAUCUGGAAUGGGAGUUCCAGCAGUUGCAAGUUCAUCAACAACAUUCCUAGUCUUGCCGUACAGGUUAUGCAGUAUGUCCCACGCUUGCUUUGAGGUGGAAGUUUUGGCGAUUGCAGAGGUGAUUGUAGGAUCAACAGAUUCCAUUAAGGCAUUGCAUAUCAACUGGUCUUGGCGAAACCAGAGUUUGUACUUGGGAAUGGGUACCUCUUGGUUGUUGAGGGUUACCGUUUUUUAUGGUGCUGUCAAGGUUUUUGACAUAAAACGUUACUGCAAUUGCAGAUGUUGACAAUUACAACCUCAGUGCUCUACCAGAUAAGGAGGAAAUUACACAGGCAAUUUUAUAGGAUGAAUUGUGAUAGCUUUGCAGGCCUUGAUGGAUUUAACAGUAAAUUUUUUCAGGUAUGCUGGAGUAUUAUUGAGGAAGAUAUUGUAGAAUUUGUUAAAAAAAAAAAAAAAUCCUUGGUAAAGAAACUGACUAGAUUAUAGGAUGAAUUGUGAUAGCUCUUCAGGCCCUGAUGGACUUAACAGUAAAUUUUUUCAGGUAUGAUGGUGAUGGCUUAUACAUUUAAAAGAAAGGUCGUUUAGCUAUCUAUGUUUCUAAAUGCAGUGUCUAUGUAAAGAAGGAAGGGAAUACUAGUUGUUCUCCCAGUUCUAGCGAUGACCACUAACUGUAUAUUUAGAUAAAUCUCUGAGUUCAACAACUAAAUUUAGCUUAUUGCUUCGUAAAACAAUUUUUUUCUUUCAAAUCAUAAUCAUGGAUUUGGUUGUUAGUAGUUUCCUCUCAACAUUUGAUCAGAAAUUGACAGUUGGAGGAGAUGGUUUUUAUGAUCAAAGCUGCACUUCUUCUGGAAUAGUUAAAUGAUGUGGCUCUGCGGAUGAUAGUCCAUCGAUGGACGAUGAACUGAUGGUUUGCAAUGAAGCUUAGAGUUAUUAACUUAUUAUGAUGCUACACAGUAAUAAAAAUAUAAAAAAAAAUUGAAAUGGAGUUGCAGUAAAAAAGUAUGCUUUUGGUGUUACAUGAAAAGUUUUUCUGAAGUUUCACCUCUCAGCUAAUAACUGGUCGCAUAAGAGCCUGUUCUUGAUUUUCCAACAUUUAGCAUGCCCUUAUAGAGCUGCGUAAGGAAGAAUCUAUCCAAUGUGCCAUAGGUGUUUAUUCGAUCACUUGAAAAUAUAAACUUCUUUAUGUUUGAAUAGCAUGGAAUUCUUGUAGAACUUAAUGCAUGGACAAACUCUUUGUUCCUACUUUUCCCUUGUGAUCCAUCUGAAGAUUGAUCGCUGGUCUUGUUCAUACAACUUUCAAUUUUUUUAUCAUAUUUUCUAUGCACUUGUGACAAACAAUAUUUCUGUAUCUUUCAGUCCUGAUCCACUAUAUUAUAGUACGAAUCAACAAUCAACUACACUUCAAUUCUAACUAGAUGGAACAGCUACUAGGAGUUCUUAGGACUGAACUAUCAUUGGCUAUUUAAUGCUUCUCAGAAGACGGGCAGGUUCAGUACAGAUCGAAACCACUGUAUGCAAUUCAACUACUCUUUUCUGUCUAACCAAUUAUGGCAGUUCCUGCUGUUAUUAAUGAAAGAUAAGUCUCGAAACUCCAACUUACUUGAACAUGUUAUCCGUGAUGAUUGGAGCUCUCCUGAGUCCAUGGGAUCAUUCCUUAUUAAACAGUAUAUCCGAUGAACCACAUGUUGCAGCCCAUUAUUAAAUUCACAUAAAUGAACGAACUAUUAACAAUGUGUAUGCAAUAAACACUUUUCACGCUGUAUGACCUCUAGAAUAUAAGACUGUUCUGAGAUAUUGAGAAAAUAUAUUCGUUUUCUCGACAUAACAUGUAAGGUUUUUAAAUUCUAAUGCUUUUUUUAUUACCACCUGAGAGGAUGCAAGUGUGGAACCUUUGGGCAUUUUUAUCUACCUAUAUAUUAUGUCCAGUAGAAUUUAUUAAGCCUGUAGUGAUUCUGCUCCUUUUCUGUCAUGAAUACUGAUGAUUCCUCAUUGUUUGCAGCUAGCAAUGAGCAGAAGAGCUGGGCAAAAUAAAUCCGAAUUGUGUGAGUUGACUGGUUCUGAAACAUUAGGUUCUAUCUUACGAGUCCAGUCAUGUUCAGAUGAAGCCAUUGAAGUUUCAAAAUGCUCAAUUCAGUGGUAUCGUUUAUCAUCUGAAUGCAGCAGAAGAGAACCUGUUGUUGGUGAUUAUUGCACAGAUGAAUGGACAGAACUACUAAUCACGUUCUGCUCACUGCAAUUCCAUGUAGGGAAAACAAAGCUUAAGUUGGGCAAAGGAUGGAUUACAAAAGCUAGAGAUUCGUAUUCUGGAUCUAUGCAGGUACUUGGUGAGUAGUUCAUUCAUGGUCCGAUCCAAUAGCCUAGCCGGCUACUAAUGUUGACUAUUCAGUUUGAGUUAUUACAUGAGCUUCAUAGGUUCUUUCAGUUAUUCACAACUUCUCACAUUGUUCACAACCAAACAUUUAGCGAGAACUGCAUGUAUCUUAUCCCGCAAAACACUUCAAUGUAAGUAGCUUCUGUUUGUUUCUUCAACUUCAGCUGUGAAUCUUUUCUUAGUUAUACAUUACUCUAUCCACUGUGCCUCAAUCCCAUGAUCACUAAGUUAAACAACUAGUGUCAUUAAGGUAUAGUGAGUUGUUGCUCGGACUCUCCAUAAAUGCUGCCGCACUGGUGUUGGAUCCAUAAAAAAAGCUUUAUUUUUAGAGGAUCUGACGCACAUCCGUCAACAUUUUUGAAAUGUCCGAGCGACAUGGAAUGAGUGCAACGGCAUUCCGCCAUCGCAUGUCUAAACGCCUACUAAGGCAAAUUUAAUUGUUUUUUAAAAUUUGCAGGUAAUUCUUGCUGGACCUGAUGAUGAUGCUUUGCUUUAGACAUAUAGUGAUUUCCAAGUUAUUUUCACUGAUGAAAGAGUCACUUAAUUAGUUUUUUCUUUUAUUUUUGGUGAGUAUAAUUAGGUUCUUUUUUUCUUCUUCUAAAUGUGAGUGAUCGAUUUCUUGUUAUAUUUUAGUAAUGAAACAUGUCCUUGUCAUUGUAAUUUUUUUUCUCACUAAUUAGUUACAUCCUUUCUAGGCAAUGGUCCUUUUUUUAGGUUUGCCUGAUUUUGGGUUGUAACAAAUUUUACUAAUUGAUUGGUCCAUUUUCAUUUUAAUGAAAU